UACGUAGGGGGCAAGCGUUAUCCGGAAUUACUGGGUGUAAAGGGAGCGUAGACGGUGAUGUAAGUCUGGAGUGAAAGGCGGGGGCCCAACCCCCGGACUGCUCUGGAAACUAUGUGACUGGAGUGCAGGAGAGGUGAGCGGAAUUCCUAGUGUAGCGGUGAAAUGCGUAGAUAUUAGGAGGAACACCAGUGGCGAAGGCGACUCACUGGACUGUAACUGACGUUGAGGCUCGAAAGCGUGGGGAGCAAACAGG
rnacentral:rRNA from 1 species